UACGUAGGGUGCAAGCGUUAUCCGGAAUUAUUGGGCGUAAAGAGCUCGUAGGCGGUGUGUCACGUCGGCCGUGAAAACCUGCAGCUUAACUGUGGGCGUGCGGUCGAUACGGGCAUCACUGGAGUUCGGUAGGGGAGACUGGAAGUUCCUGGUGUAGCGGUGAAAUGCGCAGAUAUCAGGAGGAACACCGGUGGCGAAGGCGGGUCUCUGGGCCGAUACUGACGCUGAGGAGCGAAAGCGUGGGGAGCGAACAGG
rnacentral:rRNA from 1 species